GGCCUAUUAGCUCAGUUGGUUAGAGCGUCGUGCUAAUAACGCGAAGGUCACAGGUAGGUCACAGGUUCGAUCCCUGUAUAAGCCA